rnacentral:lncRNA from 1 species
UGCUUUGUAUUAAAAUAUGUCAGUAUACUCUGUUUUAAAUUCUAUUGAGCUGCAGGUCUUAUAUACUCUAAUAAACUAUGUUUUUGUUUGAAUUAAUAAUUCUCUGUUUUGAUUUGAGUUUGUAGUGCUCUGUGAGGUGCUUUUCCCUCGUCAAGUUUUGCGGUACUAGAAUUUUGUCUCUUACGAAGUAUGAAUUUAUAAACUUUAGUUAGGCUUAGAUUUAUAUGUUUUGUUAAGUACCAUUAAAGAAACUGACUUUUAUUUGUUGCACUUUCAG